rnacentral:rRNA from 1 species
UACGUAGGGGGCAAGCGUUGUCCGGAUUUACUGGGCGUAAAGAGCGUGUAGGCGGCCAAACAGGUCCGUUGUGAAAACUGGAAGCUCAACUUCCAGACGUCGACGGAAACCGUGUGGCUAGAGUCCGGAAGAGGAGAGUGGAAUUCCUGGUGUAGCGGUGAAAUGCGUAGAGAUCGGGAGGAACAUCAGCUGCGAAGGCGGCUCUCUGGACCAGCACUGACACUGAGGCACGAAAGCGUGGGGAGCGAACAGG